AGUGAACGCUGGCGGUAGGCCUAACACAUGCAAGUCGAACGGCAGCACAGUAAGAGCUUGCUCUUACGGGUGGCGAGUGGCGGACGGGUGAGGAAUACAUCGGAAUCUACUUUUUCGUGGGGGAUAACGUAGGGAAACUUACUCUAAUACCGCAUACGACCUACGGGUGAAAGCAGUGGAUCUUCGGACCUUGCGCGAUUGAAUGAGCCGAUGUCGGAUUAGCUAGUUGGCGGGGUAAAGGCCCACCAAGGCGACGAUCCGUAGCUGGUCUGAGAGGAUGAUAAGCCACACUGGAACUGAGACACGGUCCAGACUACUACGGGAGGCAGCAGUGGGGAAUAUUGGACAAUGGGCGCAAGCCUGAUCCAGCCAUACCGCGUGGGUGAAGAAGGCCUUCGGGUUGUAAAGCCCUUUUGUUGGGAAAGAAAAGCAGCAGGUUAAUACCCCGCUGUUCUGACGGUACCCAAAGAAUAAGCACCGGCUAACUUCGUG
rnacentral:rRNA from 1 species